rnacentral:tRNA from 1 species
AAAUUUAGGUUAACCACCCAUCAAACCAAGGGCCUUCAAAGCCCUAAACAGGGUCCACCCUGACGCCCUAAUUUCUG